GACGAACGCUGGCGGCGCGCCUAACACAUGCAAGUCGAACGAGAGAUGAGGAGCUUGCUCUUCAGAUCGAGUGGCGAACGGGUGAGUAACGCGUGAGGAACCUGCCUCAAAGAGGGGGACAACAGUUGGAAACGACUGCUAAUACCACAUAAGCCCACGGCUCGGCAUCGAGCAGAGGGAAAAGGAGUGAUCCGCUUUGAGAUGGCCUCGCGUCCGAUUAGCUAGUUGGUGAGGUAAUGGCCCACCAAGGCGACGAUCGGUAGCCGGACUGAGAGGUUGAACGGCCACAUUGGGACUGAGACACGGCCCAGACUCCUACGGGAGGCAGCAGUGGGGAAUAUUGCACAAUGGGGGAAACCCUGAUGCAGCGACGCCGCGUGGAGGAAGAAGGUCUUCGGAUUGUAAACUCCUGUUGUUGAGGAAGACAAUGACGGUACUCAACAAGGAAGUGACGGCUAACUACGUG
rnacentral:rRNA from 1 species